GAAAAGGUGAAAAGGCAGCGGAGGGAGCCGGCUGUCCUGUGUCUCCUCUUUUUCCUGCCCCCAGUGACUUGCAUUUUCUCUGAGACAGCUGCCAUUCUAGUCUCCCAGCCAUUCUUAGGAAGAGACGUGCCUGUCUCUGGGAAGAGGCAACUUCUCUGCAUGUCAGAGAUGGGGAAACCAAGGCUUAGUGAGUUAAGGAGACUUCGCAAAGCCUUGACCAACACCAGUAACAAAUGAAGGCCUUUUAGAUUCAGAAGAUCCUGACAAAGACUGAGAGUUGAGCAGGAAAACUUGAGCUCUCUGCAUUAAAAGGUCUGUUACAUUUCCCAGAAUGGUUCCCAGUGCUGGAGAUAAUUCCUUUUCGGAGAACCUACAUUUCUCACCUGCUGAUUGCAAUUAGCCACUACCAGCUGGGGCCUGGUGUGCAGCUGAAAAGCUAACAAGAAGUGGAGACCACGCGGAACUCAGACAGGGCAUAGGAUGUGCAUAAAUAAGCAACGGUGCCUGUGUUUAUGAGAUGCUCCUGUGAAUUCGAGGCUUCCCCACCCUCUGCAUAACUCUCCCUCUUCUGGCUUUGUGCUGCACACCCCUCCCCUAACUAUAUUUUUUGUCUCUGGUUUUGUAGCCUACGUUUAACAUCACAGUCACGAAUUUACCACUAAGUACAUUUUGUUAGGCAAUAAACAGCCUUGGAAGAAAAAUGAAAUCCGACUAGGACUUCUGUUCUAAUAAUGUCUGUGAGCUGUGGUGGAUUCAGGCAGGCCCCACAUGCAGGUCUUAGAGCUAACCUUGACCAUGAGGGCUAGUGGGGCUGGGAGAGGGCUCAGGGACCCCAAUUCAACUCCCUUAUUUUAUGGGGGAGGAUACUGAAUCCCAGAACGGGAGCAUGGCCUGUCCAAAGUCUUAAAGGAAGUCACAGGACUGGAU
rnacentral:lncRNA from 1 species